rnacentral:rRNA from 1 species
UGAGGAAUUUUGCUCAAUGGGCGCAAGCCUGAAGCAGCGACGCCGCGUGAACGAUGAAGUUCUUCGGAAUGUAAAGUUCUUUUGGCAGGGAAAAUUAUGAUGGUACCUGCAGAAUAAGCACCGGCAAACUAUGUGCCAGCAGCCGCGGUAAUACAUAGGGUGCAAGCGUUGUCCGGAUUUACUGGGCGUAAAGAGCGUGUAGGCGGAAAUUUAAGUCAAACUUGAAAUACUAGAGCUUAACUCUAGUCUGGGUUUGAUACUGAUUUUCUAGAGAUUGGGAGAGGAAAGUGGAACUCACAGUGUAGCGGUGAAAUGCGUAGAUAUUGUGAGGAACACCCGUGGCGAAGGCGGCUUUCUGGUCCAAUUCUGACGCUGAGACGCGAAAGCGUGGGGAUCAAACAGG